UCCCUGGUGGUCCAGUGGCAAGACUUUAUGCCUCCAAUGCAGGGGGCCCAGGUUCAAUUCCUGGUUUGGGAA
rnacentral:tRNA from 1 species